rnacentral:rRNA from 1 species
CCUACGGGAGGCAGCAGUGAGGAAUAUUGGUCAAUGGGCUUACGCCUGAACCAGCCAAGUCGCGUGAGGGAAGACUGCCCUAUGGGUUGUAAACCUCUUUUGUCAGGGAGCAAUUGGCGCUACGUGUAGCGUUCUCGAGAGUACCUGAAUAAAAAGCAUCGGCUAACUCCGUGCCAGCAGCCUCGGUAAUACGGAGGAUGCGAGCGUUAUCCGGAUUUAUUGGGUUUAAAGGGUGCGUAGGCGGAAUGCCAAGUCAGCGGUAAAAUCGCGGGGCUCAACCUCGCUCCGCCGUUGAAACUGGCGUUCUUGAGUGGGCGAGAAGUAUGCGGAAUGCGUGGUGUAGCGGUGAAAUGCAUAGAUAUCACGCAGAACUCCGAUUGCGAAGGCAAGUGGCCGGGGUGCAACUGACGCUGAGGCUCGAAAGUGCGGGUAUCAAACAGGAUUAGAUACCCCUGUAGUC